GGGGGUGAAAGGGCUCGACUUAGGCCAGUUGGGUAAAAGUAGCAUGUCGCGGACGCAAGGUUUGCCGCGCUAACAAUCCUUGCACAUAUAAACGCAAACACACCAGUGUUUAACCGUGUAGCUGUUGCAGCAUCGCCUUUUGUUGCUGCGCCAGUGUUCACGGGCGUACUAGUCCCAGUUAAUUAAUUAGCUGGGCCUCUCUUUAGGCUGCCUGUGGCUUAAAAGAGAGCCGUUAGCAGGCUGGUCUUGGCAAAUUAGCCUUUGGGGCCGGGGCGAGAAUUAAAAAGGCUGCGGCCGGGAAAAUUCUGUUUGCCGAAGUUUCCCGGAGUAAGCACAAAAGACAGACUAAACAUGUAGCGACUUUUAUCUGAUUGCUUAGGGACCGGGGUUCAACUCCCCGCACCUCCACUU
rnacentral:tmRNA from 1 species